CCUUCUAACGUCUGCACAAUGGCCUGCACCCCUCUCCUCCUCCUCCUCUUCCUCACUCACUGCCCAGAGUCCAGGUCUCAGGCUGUGGUCACCCAGGAGCCCUCAGCGACCGUGUCCUCGGGAGGGACAGUCACUCUCACCUGUGGCUCCAGCACAGGGGCCGUCACUGAUGGCCACUAUCCGUACUGGGUCCAGCAGAAGCCUGGCCAGGCCCCCAGGACACUGAUUUAUAACACGAACAACAGACACUCCUGGAUGCCAGCCCGGUUCUCAGGCUCCAUCCGAGGGGGCAAAGCUGCCCUGACCCUCGCAGGGGCGCAGCCUGAGGACGAGGCCGUGUACCACUGCUGGCUGGUGUACAGUGGUGCUCGGCACAGCGAGAGACGCAGAUGGGGAACCAGGACAUAA